UACGGAGGGUGCGAGCGUUGUCCGGAAUCACUGGGCGUAAAGGGCGCGUAGGCGGGCUGCCGAGUCCGGGGUGAAAUCCUGCGGCUUAACCGCGGAACUGCCCCGGAUACUGGCGGCCUCGAGUGGGGUAGGGGCGUGCGGAACUCUGGGUGGAGCGGUGAAAUGCGUUGAUAUCCAGAGGAACUCCGGUGGCGAAGGCGGCACGCUGGACCCCGUCUGACGCUGAGGCGCGAAAGCCAGGGGAGCGAACGGG
rnacentral:rRNA from 1 species